rnacentral:lncRNA from 1 species
AAAUGUCCUUUCGGAACAUUGCUAAGUUUUUAUUAUGUUUCUUUUGUUUUAUUAUAGAAGCAAAUGUAUUACUGACUUUUUCAAACCAACUCUCAAAAAAGAUAGAACUGUGUUGUGCUCUCCAGAAAAAGGAAAUGGACGAGCUGGACAUACAGUUUCAUGUGUAGGCCAUGUUAAAAAAAAUGCAUCUUCUUCAAAGCAACAUAGAAGGAAGAAAUUGCCUUGCUCACCAUCAGGCAGAAGCCCAAUAAUUGAUGCUUUAUUCCGAAAGGCUAAGUCAGAGAAAAACAACAGUUCAGAAAAUAGUGUUAAUCAUCCAAAACCUGUGGUUCGGAGACUGUUCAUAUCUAAGGCCUUACCUGAUGGUUCUUUCAUAUUAAAAGAUCCUAUUUAUUCAAAAAAUUCAGAAAGAAAUGAGAAAUAUCCUGUUCAGACAAAGACACAUUUAAUGGAUAAUAGUAGUAGACAACAUAAAGCAGAAUAUGAAGACCUAGACUCAACUGGUUCAAGCUUGAAUAAAUGGCCUUUCACUUCAGGAAAUAACAGUCUGAAGAAGCAGAGUCAUGCAACUCAGUGUCAAAAAACAGUCUAUUCCAGGUUGCCACAAGUCAGUUCUUCAUCUCCGAAAUCAUUAGGAACCGUUCGCAAAAAGAGACAAGAGAAGGGCACCAAAGAUUUUUUAAGGAAAAAUUCAAGCUCAACUUCACUGGAAUCUUCUUCAGGUGCAAACAGAAAAAUAAAUGAUGUAACAUAAAAUUUAAAUUUAUUCUAGCUCAUUAUACUUUAGCUAUUAUUCUAAUAAAUUAUACGGCCACCCCUUACA